AUUUACAUAAUAUAAAAAUUAUAUUUGACUUCCAAUCAAAAAAUCUAGCCACUAGUGUAAAUA
rnacentral:tRNA from 1 species